rnacentral:rRNA from 1 species
AUUGAACGCUGGCGGAAUGCUUUACACAUGCAAAUCGAACGGCAGCACGGGGGCAGCCCUGGUGGCGAGUGGCGAACGGGUGAGUAAUACAUCGGAACGUGCCCGGUCGUGGGGGAUAACGUAGCGAAAGUUACGCUAAUACCGCAUACGAUCUGAGGAUGAAAGCGGGGGACCUUCGGGCCUCGCGCGAUCGGAGCGGCCGAUGUCAGAUUAGGUAGUUGGUGGGGUAAAGGCCUACCAAGCCGACGAUCUGUAGCUGGUCUGAGAGGACGACCAGCCACACUGGGACUGAGACACGGCCCAGACUCCUACGGGAGGCAGCAGUGGGGAAUUUUGGACAAUGGGCGCAAGCCUGAUCCAGCCAUUCCGCGUGCAGGACGAAGGCCUUCGGGUUGUAAACUGCUUUUGUACGGAACGAAAAGGCUCUGGCUAAUACCUGGGGCUCAUGACGGUACCGUAAGAAUAAGCACCGGCUAACUACGUG